rnacentral:siRNA from 1 species
CGCAAGAGAGGUGCUCUAGCU